GUUCUUACACAAGCAUUAAGACUCUUUUUAUAUACAUAUUUCCUAGUCUAGCUAAUUCCCUUUGUUGAUCUGUUUCUCUAGAUUAUAUAUGCUAGCUUGUUGUUAGCAAGAGGCAAAGGAGGCAUGUGGUGAUGCUGUUGACAGAAGAUAGAGAGCACAGAUGAUGACAUGCAAGACCCAUUGCAUCUCACUCCUUUGUGCUCUCUAUGCUUCUGUCAUCACCUUCAGCCUCUUGCUGAAUCCACCUUAAUUAGUUCUCGAAUGAUCCCCUUUCUUUUUUUAUGAAAGUUCUCUAAUGAUUUCACCAUGCUAAUCUUGUUUUUUUUUUUUUUUUCCAGACUACCUCGAGAAAGACUUUGAUGGAAUGCUGGAGCAGUAGUUUCAGAGAUUUGCUUUGUUUUGGCUCCUAUUUGGUUUUCCAUGUCAACCGCUUGUAACUGGGUAUCAUGUUCAGCUUUAGCUAUCGUGCAAGUUUCUGAUACAACGACAAUCUCAAGUUACUGAGGCUAACCCCUCGCCAGCAACAUAUUUCCAGACCCGAUAUUAAUUUCCAAUCUACUACUACAACGGAAAUUCUAGAGGGGAUGUUGGCAUCCAUAACUGAAGGCAUCCUGAUGAUGAGUCAAAGAACAACAUCUCCUACAGUGGUUACAGAUGCUUUCUUGUAGCCUCUGGUUCAAUUGCGCAUGCUAGGACUUGAAACAACUAAAUGAAAUUAACUAUUGACCUGAAAGGAUAAGAGUUGGGAAGAAUCUGCCUUUGCAAUUAGAAGGGAAUUUCGGCUGAGCACUCUAGCGUGAGGAAACGAGGCAAGGGCAAAGCGAUGUGGUGACCCUUGUAAGUGGGCGAGCCACCACCGGCAAAGAUGAUAAUUAUUCAGUUACUAGACACCAAGAAUGGUGGUCUCAACAAAGAUUCCUGUGGAUAUAUGUAAAAAGCAGCGGUUUUGAGCUGAGGAUAUAUAGCACUUGUUCUUCUAUUUGUUUAUAUAUUUCUUUUAUCUUUCUUA